CAGUCGAGUCCAUCUAGUCUACUUUCAAAAGCUUUCAAGCUUUUGGCCUGAAAUUCUUUACAAAUUCAUGUUAUAGCAGGGAUUAUGGAAUCAUUCAUCUAUAUCAUAUAACAGCCAUGGAAAAUAUCGGUCGAAAACUAAAUUUUCUCACCUGAACGCACCUGGACGCAAUUAAGUUUGAGAUAUUCUAAAGUUGCAAUUGGAAUAGACAUAAAACCAACACACACACACUUAGAUCACAGCGAACAGUGAACGAGUUGUUAUUGUUCUGUCAUAAUCAGAAUGGACACAAUGUCGGGACGUUAGCGACAAUUCAACGCGCCAAGAAUUAUGAAUUUGAGUACUGAACACAACUUGUUUGAUAUUUACGACUGUAAACAAAUCGCUGCCAAAGUAACAAUGUCGAGCGACCGAGCGCAACAAGGAAACUGAAUAAACUGAAAAGUAAACAGCAACAGGUCCAGCAACAGGUCCAGCAACAGGUCCCCCAGCAUCCGGCGUCAAGCGCAUGUGCAGAGUGGCAGAGUGCAACCAAUAAUUAUAUUAACAAUAUUUAACAAUUUUAAGCAAUAAAAAGAAACUGACGCCAAA